UUCGCCCUUAGAGUUUGUUCCUGGCUCAGGACGAACGCUGGCGGCGCGCCUAACACAUGCAAGUCGAACGAGAGAUGAGGAGCUUGCUCUUCAAAUCGAGUGGCGAACGGGUGAGUAACGCGUGAGGAACCUGCCUCAAAGAGGGGGACAACAGUUGGAAACGACUGCUAAUACCGCAUAAGCCCACGGCUCGGCAUCGAGCAGAGGGAAAAGGAGCAAUCCGCUUUGAGAUGGCCUCGCGUCCGAUUAGCUAGUUGGUGAGGUAACGGCCCACCAAGGCGACGAUCGGUAGCCGGACUGAGAGGUUGAACGGCCACAUUGGGACUGAGACACGGCCCAGACUCCUACGGGAGGCAGCAGUGGGGAAUAUUGCACAAUGGGGGAAACCCUGAUGCAGCGACGCCGCGUGGAGGAAGAAGGUCUUCGGAUUGUAAACUCCUGUUGUUGAGGAAGAUAAUGACGGUACUCAACAAGGAAGUGACGGCUAACUACGUGCCAGCAGCCGCGGUAAAACGUAGGUCACAAGCGUUGUCCGGAAUUACUGGGUGUAAAGGGAGCGCAGGCGGGAGAACAAGUUGGAAGUGAAAUCCAUGGGCUCAACCCAUGAACUGCUUUCAAAACUGUUUUUCUUGAGUAGUGCAGAGGUAGGCGGAAUUCCCGGUGUAGCGGUGGAAUGCGUAGAUAUCGGGAGGAACACCAGUGGCGAAGGCGGCCUACUGGGCACCAACUGACGCUGAGGCUCGAAAGUGUGGGUAGCAAACAGGAUUAGAUACCCUGGUAGUCCACACCGUAAACGAUGAUUACUAGGUGUUGGAGGAUUGGCCCCUUCAGUGCCGCAGCUAACACAAUAAGUAAUCCACCUGGGGAGUACGCCCACAAGGUUGAAACUCAAAGGAAUUGACGGGGGCCCGCACAAGCAGUGGAGUAUGUGGUUUAAUUCGACGCAACGCGAAGAACCUUUACCAAGUCUUGACAUCCCUUGACGAUGCUGGAAACAGUAUUUCUGUUCGGAGCAAGGAGACAGGUGGUGCAUGGUUGUCGUCAGCUCGUGUCGUGAGAUGUUGGGUUAAGUCCCGCAACGAGCGCAACCCUUAUGGUCAGUUACUACGCAAGAGGACUCUGGCCAGACUGCCGUUGACAAAACGGAGGAAGGUGGGGAUGACGUCAAAUCAUCAUGCCCUUUAUGACUUGGGCUACACACGUACUACAAUGGCGUUAAACAAAGAGAAGCAAGACCGCGAGGUGGAGCAAAACUCAGAAACAACGUCCCAGUUCGGACUGCAGGCUGCAACUCGCCUGCACGAAGUCGGAAUUGCUAGUAAUCGUGGAUCAGCAUGCCACGGUGAAU
rnacentral:rRNA from 1 species